AUUGAACGCUGGCGGCGUACUUAACACAUGCAAGUCGAGCGAUAACAGGUGUAGCAAUACAUGCUGACGAGCGGCGAACGGGUGAGGAAUGCUUCGGAAUCUGCCUCGUAGUGGGGAAUAACUAGCCGAAAGGUUAGCUAAUGCCGCAUACGUACCACGGUUGAAAGCGGGGGAUCGCAAGACCUCGCGCUAUGAGAUGAGCCGAAGUCCGAUUAGCUAGUUGGUGAGGUAACGGCUCACCAAGGCGACAAUCGGUAGCUGGUCUGAGAGGACGACCAGCCACACUGGGACUGAGACACGGCCCAGACUCCUACGGGAGGCAGCAGUGGGGAAUAUUGGACAAUGGGGGAAACCCUGAUCCAGCGACGCCGCGUGUGUGAAGAAGGCCUGCGGGUUGUAAAGCACUUUUAGUGGGGAUGAAAAGCUCGGGGCCAAUACCUCCGGGUCUUGACCUAACCCAAAGAAAAAGCACCGGCUAACUCUGUGCCAGCAGCCGCGGUAA
rnacentral:rRNA from 1 species